rnacentral:rRNA from 1 species
AAGGAUUCCCCUAGUAACUGCGAGUGAAGCGGGAAAAGCUCAAAUUUAAAAUCUGGCGGUCUCUGGCCGUCCGAGUUGUAGUCUGGAGAAGUGCUUUCCGCGCUGGACCGUGUAUAAGUCUCUUGGAACAGAGCGUCAUAGAGGGUGAGAAUCCCGUCUUUGACACGGACUACCAGUGCUUUGUGAUGCGCUCUCAAAGAGUCGAGUUGUUUGGGAAUGCAGCUCAAAAUGGGUGGUGAAUUCCAUCUAAAGCUAAAUAUUGGCGAGAGACCGAUAGCGAACAAGUACCGUGAGGGAAAGAUGAAAAGCACUUUGGAAAGAGAGUUAAACAGUACGUGAAAUUGCUGAAAGGGAAACGCUUGAAGUCAGUCGCGUUGUCCGGAACUCAGCCUUGCUUUUGCUUGGUGCACUUUCCGGAUGACGGGUCAGCAUCGAUUUUGACCGUCGGAAAAGGGCUGGAGUAAUGUGGCACCUCCGGGUGUGUUAUAGACUCUGGUCGCAUACGGCGGUUGGGAUCGAGGAACGCAGCGCGCCGCAAGGCAGGGGUUCGCCCACUUUCGCGCUUAGGAUGCUGGCAUAAUGGCUUUAAAC